UUUAACUGAGCGUUCAGUUACUUGACGUAGACCCGAAACCGGGCGACCUACCCAUGAGCAGGAUGAAGCGAAAGUAAAAUUUCGUGGAGGUCCGAACCCACGAGCGUUGAAAAGCUCGGGGAUGACUUGUGGGUAGCGGUGAAAUUCCAAUCGAGCCCGGAGAUAGCUGGUUCUCCCCGAAAUAGCUUUAGGGCUAGCCUCAAGGUGAGAGAUACGGAGGUAGAGCACUGAAUGUCCUAGGGGGUAUUGCACCUACCGAAGACUAUCAAACUCCGAAUGCCGUCAUCUUAUACUUGGGAGUCAGACUGUGGGUGAUAAGAUUCAUAGUCGAAAGGGCAACAGCCCAGAUCGUCAGCUAAGGUCCCUAAAUGUAAGUUAAGUGGUAAAGGAUGUGGGAUUGCACAGACAACCAGGAUGUUGGCUUAGAAGCAGCCACUCAUUCAAAGAGUGCGUAAUAGCUCACUGGUCGAGUGAUCCUGCGCCGAAGAUUUCCGGGGCUAAAACUUACUACCGAAGCUACGGCAUCAGUAAUGAUGGGUAGGGGAGCUUCCCAUACGGGUUGAAGCAUGACCGUAAGGACAUGUGGACAGUAUGGGAGUGAGAAUGUUGGCAUGAGUAGCGAGAUGUGGGUGAGAAUCCCACAGGCCGUAAACCCAAGGUUUCCAGGGGAAGGUUCGUCCGCCCUGGGUUAGUCGGGACCUAAGCUGAGGCCGAAAGGCGUAGGUGAUGGACAACAGGUUGAUAUUCCUGUACUACCGAUAACCGUUUGAGAGAAGGGAUGACACAGUAGGAUAAGCUAAGCACACUGUUGGUUAUGUGUGCCCAAGCAUUGAGGCAGUCAAAGUAGGCAAAUCCGCUUUGAUAAUGCUGGGAUGUGAUGGGGAGCGAAAUUUAGUAGCGAAGUAGCUGAUUUCACACUGUCAAGAAAAGUCUCUAUCGAGGUUAAAGGUACCCGUACCGCAAACCGACACAGGUGGGUGAGGAGAGUAUCCUAAGGCCAGCGAGAGAACUGUUGUUAAGGAACUCGGCAAAAUGACCCCGUAACUUAGGGAUAAGGGGUGCCACCAUCAGGUGGCCGCAGAGAAUAGGCCCAAGCGACUGUUUACCAAAAACAUAGGUUUCUGCUAAGUCGCAAGACGAUGUAUAGGAGCUGACGCCUGCCCGGUGCUGGAAGGUUAAGGGGAUCUGUUAGAGCAAUCGAAGCAGUGAACUUAAGCCCCAGUAAACGGCGGCCGUAACUAUAACGGUCCUAAGGUAGCGAAAUUCCUUGUCGGGUAAGUUCCGACCCGCACGAAAGGCGUAACGAUUUGGGCACUGUCUCAACAACAGACUCGGUGAAAUUGUAAUUCCGGUGAAGAUGCCGGAUACCUGCGACAGGACGGAAAGACCCCAUGGAGCUUUACUGUAGCUUGACAUUGGGUCUUGGUACUACAUGUACAGGAUAGGUG
rnacentral:rRNA from 1 species